NNNGCUGAGUGUUCAAAAGACAGUGCAACAGAAAAUCAGUAUCUGGCAUCGUUGGUUUUCUUGGCUUUGUGCAUGAGAAACCUGGUAAUACUACUGAUAAAAAA
ensembl:snoRNA